GAAAUGAAUAAGGACAAGUCGUCCGAAUUCACGAACUUUCCUUAAGGAAUAAUUUCUCUCACUGUAUCUGAGGUUAUGGAAUCUUCCUCCCAGGAUAAAAUGGCCUUCAAUCCGACUAUAGCGGUGCCUCAAAUAGGCGAAUUCUUCGAAUGCAUAAAACGUUUUGAUUGAUCACACAGAAUAUUUGUAAAGAAAAGAAGAGAGCUUUUAUUCUAAAAAUUUCAUAUCAAAACCUGUGAAGGAAAGCAGGUUUAUAUAUCCUAGCAGAUGCCUCUUCGAAAAGGUGGCAUUGGUUCACUUAAAUAGUGUAAUAUUUCUGAAAAUGCAUGUCUGCAGCAUUUUUGCUGAAGCAGUAUACCAUUUCACCAAACAGUGCACCUGUUCGAAACAGUGAAUCACUUCAUUGAAGGAUUACAUCUGUUCAGUCGAAACAGAAAUACUAUAUCAGUUCAGUGCAUGCAUCAGUUCAAUCGAAAAGAAAGAGUGCAUCAGUUCAGAAACAGCGCAUCAGUUCAGUCGAAACAGUGCAUCAGUUCUAUCGAAAUAUUGCAUCUGUUACUGUUACUACAUGCAUAUAAAUGGAGUAUUGAUCAAAUUUUGUUAAAUAAAGUUUGUCCAAAAAGAUAGAUCUCACCGAUCGAUCAUUUUCCAAAUCCAAAUCCAAAUUUGAAUCUGAAGCCGAGCGAGCGAUGAUGACGAUGGCACGAGGCAUCUCUUAUUUCUUGCCUCACUUAUCAUAUGGAGCAAUUAUUCAUCAUUAUAAACACUCCAAAGUUUUCUUCUCCCACCAUUGUGUGAGAAUUAGUGAACUUUCCAAUUUUGGGAGUACACUUUCCAAAUUGGUGUCUCUUCUUCUCCACCAUUUUUUCUCCAUUUCCAUUCACACUUCUAUGAACCCAAUCGAAUGGAAAUUAUCGGAUGCUUGACAUUUUAUGAAAGGUAUUUUUCAUCCCUGUUAAAUGUUCUUAUAAAUGUCAACCUUCUAGCUUCUUGUAGAAAAUAUUUAAGACUAAUGCAAACAGACAGAUCUAACUUAUGUUAAGUUUAUAGUGAUAUUCGACCAGCGCUAUUCAAUGUUCACCCUAAAAAUUGUCUUAAACUAUCACAUUUGUUUAUAGUGAAGCUCUUCGAUGUUAACAAUCUGUAUAAUUAGUUUGCCUUUAUUGUGUUGAAUAUACUUCCAUUAUGAAUUUUAUACUCUGAUCUGAUCUGAUGAUUAUAUUUGGUUAACUAACUCUAAUGUUUGCUUAUCAGCACUCUGUUUAUACAUGCCCGACUCAAAAUCUGAAGUUAAUUUGUGUCUUGUCGAGAUAAAACUUUAAUUAGUCUCUAGGACCAAUUAGUCUCUAGGACACUUCACUUUCAGCCAAUGUUGGUCUUCUGAAUGAGGGAGUUGAGUCACAAGGUUUACAAUAUUAAAAUGAAAAACUUUGAUGAUUAUUAAAGUUAAAUGUUUAAAUUUUCACUCAAAAUGGCAGCCUUCAUUCGAGAAUAGAAUUUAAUGAGUUUUGAUUACUUGGACUCUAAAAUCCAAAUAUUAUCAUUCCUAAGAUUUAAUUUAUAUUUGGAUACCUGCUAGACUAAAUUGGACAUAAGGUACAUAAAUACGCCAACAUUGUUGAAUUAUGGGUUUUUUUUGCUACUUGUAGAUGGAAGUGGACAACAUUUUAACAAGAAACACAAGAACUAGAGUUUAAAAAUGUGGUGUUGCUUUACAUUUAAUCUUCAAGUGAGUGAUGACUUUAAUUAUAUUUUUUAAUGUAGACAAGUAAAUCAAUGAAAUUUAUUGUCCGAAAGUACAAUGAACUAAUAGGAAGUAAGGUACUUUUAAUUGCCUGUGAAGUGCCUUAAUUUGUAGUAGAUUUAAAUGCAAAAAAGAAAGUGUUGCUGGUACAUAAAACUCUCAAGGGAUCAUUUGAUUGGGAACAAAUUAUUUCGGGAUUGACAAAAGAGUUCUUCAAUCUUCUUCAUUGUGAUUCUGUUAUAAUAUGUGGACUGUCCAGAGGGAUUUGCCUGUAAGUAUGUUAUUUUAGGCUUGCAGUGUUGCUUCCUUUUUCUUUCAAUGAUGAAAAUUGUAUACAAACAUAAUUGAAAAGCUCUGCGGCAUGUAUGGUGUAACAAAAAAGUAAAUUAUUACAAAAUAAUUGGAGAACAUACAACAAAUGUUUUUGUUUCGUUAAGAUUGUCAAUCCUAAUGUCUUCUUCAUAUACAGGAAGAACGCUAUGGAUGCAAGUACAUCGUUGAUGGUGAAUGGAUAUGCAUUGGAAGUCUCUUUGAUUGUUGUUAUUGGAUGCAGUUAAAGCCAUUUUUUCCUGCUCUUUUUUAGGGUGUUUACGAGUCAGAAAAAGAAUAAUCACAAUGCACAAAAGGUGUCAACUCUACUAAUCCAGAAAUAGUAUGCAAAAUGUAGUACUCUCUUGUACACAAAUGACGACUACUGCGUUUAAAUAGUAUGAUAUUCUCAUGGUUUGUAUAAAACACUCAUUUGACAACCGUACUACAUUCAAGAACGUCAUAUUGUGUACGAAAAUUACUUAUAUGCAUCAAUUUUCUUUUUCUUUUGUAA